CCUACGGGUGGCAGCAGUGGGGAAUAUUGCACAAUGGGCGAAAGCCUGAUGCAGCCAUGCCGCGUGUAUGAAGAAGGCCUUCGGGUUGUAAAGUACUUUCAGUUGUGAGGAAGGGUGUGUAGUUAAUAGCUGCGCAUCUUGACGUUAGCAACAGAAGAAGCACCGGCUAACUCCGUGCCAGCAGCCGCGGUAAUACGGAGGGUGCGAGCGUUAAUCGGAAUUACUGGGCGUAAAGCGCAUGCAGGUGGUUCAUUAAGUCAGAUGUGAAAGCCCCGGGCUCAACCUGGGAACUGCAGUUAGAACUGUCUGACUAGAGUACAGUAGAGGGUGGCGGAAUUUCCUGUGUAGCGGUGAAAUGCGUAGAUAUAGGAAGGAACAUCAGUGGCGAAGGCGGCCACCUGGACAGAUACUGACACUCAGAUGCGAAAGCGUGGGGAGCA
rnacentral:rRNA from 1 species